rnacentral:rRNA from 1 species
CGUAAAGGGUGCGUAGGCGGUAUGUUAAGUCAGGUGUGAAAUCCCACGGCUCAACUGUGGUGUUGCACUUGAAACUGGCAUGCUAGAGUGCAGGAGAGGGAAGUGGAAUUCCCUAGUGUAGCGGUGAAAUGCGUAGAGAUUAGGAGGAGCACCAGUGGCGAAGGCGGCUUCCUGGCCUGUAACUGACGCUGAGGCACGAAAGCGUGGGUAGCGAACAGGAUUAGAUACCCUGGUAGUCCACGCCGUAAACGAUGGAUACUAGGUGUAGGAGGUAUCGACCCCUUCUGUGCCGUAGUUAACGCAAUAAGUAUCCCGCCUGGGGAGUACGGCCGCAAGGCUAAAACUCAAAGGAAUUGACGGGGGCCCGCACAAGCAGCGGAGCAUGUGGUUUAAUUCGAAGCAACGCGAAGAACCUUACCAGGGCUUGACAUCCCCCUGACCGGUCUAGAGAUAGACCUUUCUCUUAUGAGACAGGGGAGACAGGUGGUGCAUGGUUGUCGUCAGCUCGUGUCGUGAGAUGUUGGGUUAAGUCCCGCAACGAGCGCAACCCCUAUCAUUAGUUACCAGCACUUAGGGUGGGGACUCUAAUGGGACUGCCGGGGAUAACCCGGAGGAAGGUGGGGACGACGUCAAAUCAUCAUGCCCCUUAUGUCCUGGGCUACACACGUGCUACAAUGGCCAGUACAGAGGGAAGCGAAGCGGUAACGCGGAGCAAAUCCCAGAAAGCUGGUCCCAGUUCGGAUUGUGGGCUGCAACUCGCCCACAUGAAGUCGGAGUUGCUAGUAAUCGCGAAUCAGCAUGUCGCGGUGAAUACGUUCCCGGGCCUUGUACACACCGCCCGUCACACCAUGGGAGUCGGGGGCACCCGAAGCCGGUGACCGAACCGUAAGGACGGAGCCGUCGAAGGUGAACUCGAUGACUGGGGUGAAGUCGUAACAAGGUAGCCGUA